GUGGGUAUAGCUCAGCUGUAGAGUGCAUGUUUAGCAUGCAUGAGGUCCUGGGUUCAAUACCCAGUACCUACA
rnacentral:tRNA from 1 species